rnacentral:lncRNA from 1 species
AUGAAAAUGCAAGUGACCGAGGAUGGAGGAGGAAGUUGUGCAUUCUGUUCCAUUUCCCAGGAGUCUGACAUUGUCCUGCAGGCCAGUGUUGAGCACUUCAGUCCCAGGAACAAGUGGCAUCUCCAGCACUGCAAACAUGUUCCAGGCUGUGGCCCUGCUCAGGAUGCAACUCCAGGCAAACACAGCAGAAAUAGAAAGGAAAAUGAGACCAAAAUGGAUCCAGUUCAGCAUUAUCCCUGUCAGAGGAAAGCUUUGCAGUGUCUCAACAGUUGGUCAAGCAGCCUGAGUACUUUCAUUAAAUUCAAAUUUAAGAAACAGAUAUUUGUGGAAGCCAGACUAGUUCUUUCAUCUAUUUGGGUAAUAA